UGGGUUGUUUAGUAGUGAUUGAUUGUGUAAGUUGCUUAUGAAAUGAGCUUAAUUUAUAGGCUAGGAAUUCGGUUAAAGAAUAGAAUAGGGAUUGUGAGAAAAUGCACAAAGUGUAAGUGAAUUUGGAUAAAUUUAAAUGCAUUUGAAUAUAAAUUUGAAAUUGACAUGAAAAUAUCUCAAUUUCAAUCUCAAAUUCUGAUAUAUUAU
rnacentral:lncRNA from 1 species